CUGGUAGUGGGCCCAGCAGGCCUCCCAGAUGUGCAGGGCCUCGGCCUCAGGGAACUCGCGCUUGAAGCACAGCAGCAGCCAGCGGUGGCAGAAGAGCAUCUGCAGGCCGUCCUCGCCCAGCGACACCAGGUGCUGGUAGAAGCGCAGGUGUGUCAGCCGCAGCAGCUCCCGCAGGGGCGAAGAAGGCAUCUCUCGGAGAGAUACAACCUCCGCUGUAAUUUUUCAGGCUGAGACCUCCUGAGGGUUAAGACUCCUGGAUGCUGGCCCCCAGCAAGGCAGAAGAAGGCAGAGUAAGGUACACCUGCCCCGUGUGGCCCAGGAGGGAGGCUGACUCACAGGGACGUCAGGCAGCCCCAGCCAGCACCUGGGGGCUGUUUCUAAUGCCCACCCCUCCCGGCAAGGUGCGCAGAUCACCCAGGGGAGCCUGCCCAACCCCUUUCCUCUCCCACACCAUGAUCCUCCAUCUCCCCGAGCUGACUCAGAGCAGGGAGGGACGAGUCUGAGCCCCAGGAUGCUGGAUUCCCUUGCAAAAGGUCACCCCCUUGUGACGUGGGACAAGAUCAAAGCUAUUUUUGGCAGCACCCGGCCCCGGGGCUGCUGACUUCACCCAUGCUGCUAGAAAAUCAGUCUCUGGUAGCUAAUGAGUCACUGGGCCGAGUGCAGCCCAAAGCCGUCAGAGGUGAAUGGCGUCAGACCUUGUAAUGGCUUCCGGGUACUGGGGAGACUGACCUCACAGACGCGGGAUGAUGCUGAGGGAGAGAGGGGAGCAGGCUGGCGGCGGUGGGGUGUGUGUCAGAUGCUCUUGAGAUCAGGGCUGGGGGUCUCAGCGGCCCUCACAGCCCUCCCCACACAAGUGGCCCUUUGUUCCCUCGGAGACAGUGGCUGGGACGGCAGGGGCCCAGGAGCUGUGUUCCAGCGUCCUUCCUGCCAGGCCAGUGUCUGCACUUCGCAGCUCCAGCAGGGCCAAGGCCACAGCAGAGCUGAUGGCUGACCCCCCUGGCCCCUUCCCACUGGGCCCACCACCAGGCUCGGCGGCUUUGAGUCCUCUUCGCUGUGCCUUGCCAUCCCCCCACCCCCAGAUCCCCUUGGGCUACCUGCAGGACGUGCUCCUCCACCCCCCAUAUCUGUGGGGGCCUCACCAAGCACAUCUGGUUCAAGACCAGGCCGUGGCAUGACUGCCUGGAGCCCUGCCCGGCUAAGUGACCCCAUGGUAAGCAGUUCCAGCCUCGGGGUCCUGGGACUCCUGCUGUCCUCCCUGUGUCUACAUCACACUUUCUGUCACCUCUACCUCCAGGGGGCUGGUCUCCUGCUCAGUUAGCUUCUGGGCCGAGCUUUCCCUUGGGCUCAGGUGACCACACCGCAGGGCCUGACUCUGGCACUCAGCAGGUGCGUGGCACACACACAGGGGACACGCAGUCUUGGCCCCGCCCGUCCAGUCUUGGGCCAUGCACUCUCCUGCCAUUCGGUGCUGCUUGUGCUACUUAGGGCUCAUCCUUUUGGGGAGACCCUGAGGCAGUGCCGCCUGGACCCCUGCUAUCUCUAGGGUGGGACUUGAGAAUUUCCAUUGGCCUCAGGAUGGCAUUAGGAGCCUCAGCCGUGGUGGAUCUGCAGCCCAAACACAGAGAGCCCCUUCCACACGGCACAGGUGUGUGGGGCCUUCCUGGACUGGACUGCCAGGUGCACAAAGGUACAAGGCCACCGCGGGGAGACCUGCACAGCCAGGGGCCGCCCCCUCCUGGGAUGCUGAGGGGCGCUGUUCCCUCCCAGGAGGCCCAGGGCUAAGUACAAUCCAUCAGCAACCCCGACCCAGCUUUCUGCCGCUGCUGACCGGUGACAACAAUGCCACACGUCAUCAUGGAGACCCCUUGCUGUGAGAGAAGGUGGUGGUGUGCACCCUCUCACGCUGCUGUGCAGCACGAGUGCACACACACACACACACACACACACACACACUCACGCACACACACACGCACUCACGUGCACACAUGCUGAACCCCAGCACUCACCAGCUGUUUUUCCAUGUCCUCGUCCCGGGGAGAGCUGACAAAGAUCGUGUUCUGCAUCAGGCCAACAAAGCACCAGAAGGUGUCAGACUCAUCCAGGACCUCGGCCAGGAUGGGCGCCACCAGGGAAGGCAGCACCUGCUCAAAGGCCCUGGCAGCUCUGGGACUGUCUCGAGAUCCCAAGCUUUGGAUCAAGACAAACGGGCUCUUGCUUUGCUGAAGGUAAGGGCCUGCAAUUAGCUGCUCAUCAGGCCCAGAGCCCUGAGCAGGGAUAAGGAGGAAUGUGGGUCUGAUGUUCUUAAUGGUUGACUGCUUGUGACAAAGGGUGGGCUGGCAGGGACAUUUUUAUGGGCUGUUAAUUUUGUGCAAUUAUUUGCCAGGCUGUAGUAGAAUGUCAAAGAUGCCAGCCUCUGGCUCUGUGUGGCUUCAUCACAGGAGCGACCACUCAUCGGGAGGUGGAGGACAGUCUUAGUAGGAGCCCAGGGAUUCAGCUUUAAUGGUUCCCUUGGACGGCACCUCGUGGCUGCCCUGGGAAGCAGUGGCGGUGAGAGUCCUGCCAAGUUGCUGACCCUCUGCUCUAAUACCCUGACCGUAUGAGCUUGGAAGAGACCCUGCAGGAAGCUGCUGCUGGGCUGGUCCCUUUCAGAGGGUCAGCUGAGGCCCAGAAGUGCAAGGGAGGCCCACAGACUUGCAGGGGAGGAAGGGCCAGAUGUGCCAGCCCUGUCCAGCCCUGGGGAGCAGGGUACCUCAUGCUCUCCACGUUGGGGUUGUCUUCCCCUCGGAAGAACUGGUUGCUCCGAUCUGUGCGGACCACAUCUUUGUCCACGGUGAACUGCACAUUCCGCCAGAAGGCUCUGUGCUCUUCAGGAGACAUGGAGAGCCUGGCAGGGAGAGGGCAGCCUUGUGGUCCAGUGCUCCACACCAGAGGGUGAGUAACACAUGCCUGGGUGGGGAGGACCAAGUAGCUGCACUUGCUGGCAGCAAACCCUCCAGCUCCCAAAGACAUGGGUGCUGCGUAUCCGAGGUUGCCCGAAUGAACUCAGCUCCACAGGUCCCAGCGCCCCAGCGGCCUGCACCCCAGUGUAGGGGAGCGGCACCCAGUCUCAGCUCUGGGAAGGAGAGCAGAGCGCAGUCCCCGGGGAGUGCCACCCAGUGCCUCCCGCUCCUCCGACGUGGACUCGGGGCUGUAAUAGCGCAGCAGGAAGGGCCAGACCUCUCCCCGGAUCGACACGUCAAUGCCGCCAAAGAAAAUGGCCUGGAGGAAGCAGCAAAAGUUGGGGAGGGGAUAAAAUAGGGCAGCUCAAAGAACCCCAAAUCCUUAGAGAUGUGUUUUGGUGGCUUCAGAGGGCCUUGAUUCAGGCCCCAGCAAUUUGCACAUGUUUAUGAGGGGAAAGCACCAGCCCUCCAUUCCCAUACAGGACACAAACCGGCUCAUUUCAAUGUCAAAGGCCCCCUGGGGCGGCACUCCGAUUAACGUGUCGUUCUCACGUCAUGGCCUAAUCCCUGCUUUUGGAAAUGCUGCUCUGCACUCCCGCAGCCCCUUCUGCGCAGACUGACGCAGGAUCCCCGAGCCUGCUCUGGAGCUGUUUGCAAGGCAGCUGCUUUGAUCACUUCAUCGGGGGGGGGCGCACACCGAACCUCACACCAGGAAGGAGACCCUCCCAGCACAGCCCCUGGGUGCCCGGCCCACCCUCCAGCUGCCUGUCCCGAAAGGGCUCCAGCGAGGCCGGCCAGCCGGCCAGGUCUUACCUUGCG